AUUGAACGCUGGCGGCAUGCUUUACACACGCAAGUCGGACGGCAGCACAGAGAAGCUUGCUUCUUGGGUGGCGAGUGGCGAACGGGUGAGUAAUAUAUCGGAACGUACCGAGUAAUGGGGGAUAACUAAUCGAAAGAUUAGCUAAUACCGCAUAUUCUCUGAGGAGGAAAGCAGGGGACCUUCGGGCCUUGCGUUAUUCGAGCGGCCGAUAUCUGAUUAGCUAGUUGGUGGGGUAAAGGCCUACCAAGGCGACGAUCAGUAGCGGGUCUGAGAGGAUGAUCCGCCACACUGGGACUGAGACACGGCCCAGACUCCUACGGGAGGCAGCAGUGGGGAAUUUUGGACAAUGGGCGCAAGCCUGAUCCAGCCAUGCCGCGUGUCUGAAGAAGGCCUUCGGGUUGUAAAGGACUUUUGUCAGGGAAGAAAAGGCUGUUGCUAAUAUCGACAGCUGAUGACGGUACCUGAAGAAUAAGCACGGCU
rnacentral:rRNA from 1 species